GUCGUCAGCUCGUGUCGUGAGAUGUUGGGUUAAGUCCCGCAACGAGCGCAACCCUUGUGAUUAGUUGCCAGCACGUCAAGGUGGGAACUCUAGUCAGACUGCCCAGAUCAACUGGGAGGAAGGUGGGGACGACGUCAGGUCAGUAUGGCCCUUACGCCUUGGGCUGCACACGUACUACAAUGCCCAGCACAAUGAGAACCGAUGCCGCGAGGUGGAGGAAAUCUGUAAAACUGGGCUCAGUUCGGAUUGGAGGCUGCAACUCGCCUCCAUGAAGUUGGAAUCGCUAGUAAUGGGGCAUCAUCUACGGCCCCGUGAAUACGUUCCCGGGUCUUGUACACACCGCCCGUCACAUCAUGGAAGCCGGUCGCACCCGAAGUGCCCGUACCAACCGCAAGGGGGUAGGGUCCUAAGGUGUAGCUGGUAACUGGGAUGAAGUCGUAACAAGGUAACC
rnacentral:rRNA from 1 species